UACAGGGGGCGCGAGCGUUGCUCGGAAUCACUGGGCGUAAAGCGUACGCAGGCGGGUCGAUAAGUCCGUUGUGAAAUCCCCGGGCUCGACCCGGGAACUGCGUCCGAUACUGGAAGGCUUGAAUCCGGGAGAGGGAUGCGGAAUUCCAGGUGUAGCGGUGAAAUGCGUAGAUAUCUGGAGGAACACCGGUGGCGAAGGCGGCAUCCUGGACCGGCAUUGACGCUGAGGCGCGAAAGCCAGGGGAGCAAACGGG
rnacentral:rRNA from 1 species